AAGUCGUAACAAGGUAACCGUAGGUGAACCUGCGGUUGGAUCAUUAAAAAAUCCUUUUUUCGGUUCGCUUUGAGGGGAAACCCUUGAAGAGGAAUCAGAAAAAAUAACCCUGUGUGCAAACACUGCUGUCUCUGGUGGUCGAAUUGAACUUGCCUAUUGUUCGAAAUUCUUGUUGCUUUGAAGUUAGUUGGAUGAUCUGUGAUUGGAAGAACUUCCAUCAUCGGAAAAUCUAUCAGACUUUGGCUGCGCUCGAGUUUUGGAUUGGGGGUGGGUGUUAGUUUUGCCACCGAAAUGUUUUUAACCUUUUGUUUUGGAAGUGUCCUCACGGAUGUUUUCAUUUUAUGAUUUAUUUUUUUUUCUUAAUCUGUUUUGCCUUUUCUGGUAAAAUUAGAAAUUACAAACAACUUUUGACAACGGAUCUCUUGGCUCUU
rnacentral:misc_RNA from 1 species